rnacentral:rRNA from 1 species
UGGGGAAUAUUGGACAAUGGGCGAAAGCCUGAUCCAGCCAUGCCGCGUGUGUGAAGAAGGUCUUCGGAUUGUAAAGCACUUUAAGUUGGGAGGAAGGGCAUUAACCUAAUACGUUAGUGUUUUGACGUUACCGACAGAAUAAGCACCGGCCAACUCUGUGCCAGCAGCCGCGGUAAUACAGAGGGUGCAAGCGUUAAUCGGAAUUACUGGGCGUAAAGCGCGCGUAGGUGGUUUGUUAAGUUGGAUGUGAAAUCCCCGGGCUCAACCUGGGAACUGCAUUCAAAACUGACUGACUAGAGUAUGGUAGAGGGUGGUGGAAUUUCCUGUGUAGCGGUGAAAUGCGUAGAUAUAGGAAGGAACACCAGUGGCGAAGGCGACCACCUGGACUAAUACUGACACUGAGGUGCGAAAGCGUGGGGAGCAAACA